rfam:Schistosoma rodhaini strain Burundi genome assembly, scaffold: SROB_scaffold0010679
AUCCAGUUGAGGAGUCCCAAAUAGGACGAAACGCGCGUCCUGGAU